AUACGGAGGGUGCGAGCGUUAAUCGGAAUUACUGGGCGUAAAGGGUGCGUAGGCGGCUUGAUAAGUCGGAUGUGAAAGCCCCGGGCUUAACCUGGGAAUUGCAUUCGAUACUGUCAGGCUAGAGUAUGUCAGAGGUUGGCGGAAUUCCUGGUGUAGCGGUGAAAUGCGUAGAUAUCAGGAGGAACACCAGUGGCGAAGGCGUCUAACUGGGACAAUACUGACGCUGAGGCACGAAAGCGUGGGGAGCAAACAGGAUUAGAAACCCCAGUAGUCC
rnacentral:rRNA from 1 species